GGGGCCACGAUGGCCUCUGUCGUCUGCCAGACCAUGCGCACGAACUGGUUGUGGGCGUUGACCACGUUGAACGCGACGAGCCAGCUCAUGAUCACGUUCACGAACACGACGAUGGUGAGAAGGGUCAGCAGCGGGCUGACGAAAUAGGCGAGGAUCGCCUGACCGAAAGUAAGUUCCAUCUCGUGCCUCACGCUGGAAGGGAGUUUUAGAAAACGCCCCCGUCCUGUAGACGCGCAAGGGCGGUGCGAUCAAGUCCUCUCGACGGCGCAAAGGCCCGGCGCAGGCGCGCAUAUGAACGCGCCUGCUUGACAGGAGAAGGGCUGAGCCGUAGGUCAGCGCUCUCGUUUCGACACGGGAUUUGUGGGGCCGUAGCUCAGUUGGGAGAGCGCGUCGUUCGCAAUGACGAGGUCAGGGGUUCGAUUCCCCUCGGCUCCACCA
rnacentral:tmRNA from 1 species